rnacentral:rRNA from 1 species
CCCUUAGAUGUCCGGGGCCGCACGCGCGCUACACUGAAGGAAUCAGCGUGGCUCUGUCCCUGGUCCGAAAGGAUUGGGAAACCCGUUGAAUCUCCUUCGUGAUAGGGAUUGGGGCUUGGAACUGUUCCCCAUGAACGAGGAAUUCCCAGUAAGCGCGAGUCAUAAGCUCGCGUUGAUUACGUCCCUGCCCUUUGUACACACCGCCCGUCGCUACUACCGAUUGAACGGUUUAGUGAGGCUUUGGGAGAGCUAAAUAGACUGUGCUUCACAGAUUAUUUGGCUUGAACUUAGUCAAACCUUACUAUUUAGAGGAAGGAGAAGUCGUAACA